UACGUGAGGUGCAAGCGUUGUCCGGAAUUAUUGGGCGUAAAGAGCUCGUAGGCGGUUUGUCGCGUCUGCGUGUAGAAAACUCGGGGACCUUACCCCGGGCCUGCAGUGGGUACGGGCAGACUAGAGUGCGGUAGGGGAGACUGGAAUUCCUGGUGUAGCGGUGAAAAUGCGCAGAUGUCGGAGGAACACCAGUGGCGAAGGCGACUACCUGGCCUGUUCUGACGCUGAGGCGCGAAAGCUAGGGGAGCAAACGGG
rnacentral:rRNA from 1 species